UACGUAGGUGGCAAGCGUUGUCCGGAUUUACUGGGCGUAAAGCGCGCGUAGGUGGUCUGCUAAGUUCAGGGUGAAAUCUCCCGGCUCAACCGGGAGGGGUCUUUGAAUACUGGUGGACUUGAGGGCAGCAGAGGUAGGUGGAAUUCCGGGUGUAGUGGUGAAAUGCGUAGAUAUCCGGAGGAACACCAGUGGCGAAGGCGGCCUACUGGGCUGUACCUGACACUGAGGCGCGAAAGCGUGGGGAGCGAACCGGAUCAGAUACCCGGGUAGUCCACGCCCUAAACGGUGGCAACUAGGUGUGGGGGGUAUCGACCCCCUCCGUGCCGCAGCUAACGCUUUAAGUUGCCCGCCUGGGAACUACGGCCGCAAGGUUAAA
rnacentral:rRNA from 1 species